GGGUCAGUAGGUUGGUCGUGCCACCGGGACGUACUGGUCUCACUGAUUCCUCCUUCCUGAAGAACCGUAAUGCCAUUAAUUUGGUGUUGCGGGGACACAGGACUGUUACUUUGAAAAAAUUAGAGUGUUUAAAGCAAGCUAACGCUUGAAUACAUUAGCAUGGAAUAAUGAAAUAGGACGAUCGAUCCUAUUUUGUUGUUUUCUAGGAUUGACGUA
rnacentral:rRNA from 1 species